AUCUUUGAAAAUUGCCUUUCUCGGUUAUCGGGAUCCAAACAAAGAAUUAGAAAUAAAACAUCCUGCAAACGGGGUGAUUAGAAUCUGAGUUGUGGAUCUUUCAGACUUCGCUGGUACCACUGGCGGAGUUUCAAUUCACAGCAUACAUCACUCAAAGAAUUGAAGAAUACCCUCCCACCCCCUUUUAAAAUUUCUGAGCCCAUUUUGACCUGAAAAAAGUGAGCAAAGAAAGUGUAAUGACAGAAAGGUUACCAGAGCAACCCCAAACAACAGUGCUCACAGGGCAAAUGAGUGACUUUUUGAAAAGAAACUAAACAAAAACAGCAGCGAAAUGGACCAGUGAACUUUUUUUUUGUUACAAAAGUCACAGGUGGAGAUUGUAAAAGUCUGAAGGAGAAAUAUAGAAACCGUGUAAACAAAUUUGGUUAGUCCCUCUCUCUUUUGAAAAUGUUUACUGUAGUCUAGCUUGGGUUUUUGUUUUGUUUUUUAUUCUUAGCACUUAAUUCUUUUGGUGUGUGUGUGUGUGUGUGUGUGUGUGUGUGUGUGUGUGUGUGUAUGUGUGUGUGUGUCAGAUUUAGGUGCCUGCUACUUUGUGCAGCUUCACACGUGGAUGUUACAGAUCCAAACCCCAAGCCCUCACCCUUGUGGAGUAAGCAAGUGCUUUGCAGAUGGAGCCAUCGUCUGUCUCUCCAGGCCCACAGCCCCACAGAUGCCAUUUCACUAAGCUGUGACAUGUGUGCGGGCUCUGGUUAAGUCUCCGAGGGCAGCCAUUUUUCAAGCCUGUUGCACAGUGCCAUUCAGAGUAGAGCAUGUAUGGCGACCUCCUGGGUGGAGGGCUGUGUGAAGCUCUGUCAGAGGCUUCAUCCCAUAGCUCGUAUGUUGUCAGGCUUGGGGUGGGCCUGAGAGCACGCAUGUCUCCCUGAGUGUCACCUGCAGCUACCUAUUCAGAGCCCUACUUGAUGGGCUACUCUGGUGUGUUCUGUUAGUUUUUGGGGGGAGUUAAGUAGUUCCCUUGCUUGGUUACCCCUCUACCCCCUUAUUCGUUGCUAGUUUCACAUUUAUGCCGUUUCCCCGAUUAGACUGUAGGCCAUCAAGAUGGAGGAACUCAUUCUGACCCAGGGACUCAAGUCCCUGGAGUCCCAUGUGCAGUUCACAAAAGCUCACUUUCCAGAAUGACAGAGCAGAAUGACAGGCUCCCUGGCAGAAGACGGAAUUCUGAGUUUAUUGUGCAUUUGGACUUAUUUCUGCUCCUCAGUGACGUGCUCAACCAUGUCUUCCCAGAUAAAUACAUGGGGGUUGUUCCAAAGGCACCCUUCAAGCCUCUUUGUUAAGAACAACCGCCAGGACAUUUGCUAGGUGGCUGAACAGAGAUAUUCUGCUCCCACACUUAGAGCCCAACAUCCACCUAAACAGAUGCCAUUAACUUUAUCUUUCCCCCACCUCAAAUAAAUACGGUAUUCCGCUCUCACUGACUCACUUCCAGUUGCCCUGGGUUAAGAAGACCACAUGAACUGCAGUUAUGUCGUUUUGUUCUGAGCCCGAGUCGCCUGUGUGCCCAGGUGGCACUCAGUUCUCCACAACCGGCUCUACAUUUCCCGGACACUGGAAGGCAAGCGUCCUUCAUCUAUGAGGACACUGUGAAUGUCACAUUAGGUUUUUAUCACAGGUCUUGCGUACACGUGACCAGACAGCAUGGUAGAUAGGGUGUUGGUUGUCUCUCUCUUGCCAAGGGAGCCAAGGCAGUUUAGACGCCAUUCCUUCCCAAGCUUCCUUACUGGGUUUUAGAAGCAUUGGGAAAGCAAACACCAGUCUUUCAGGAACAAAGUCAGAAUUUAUAACAAUGCGUCGGGACAUCAGUAUUUCUUGUGGUGUCAGGGAUGGAACAUCCUCUUGCCAAUGCCAGCCAGGUGAUCUGCCAGCAGGCUACACCACAGCCCCAACUCUACAAAGAACUCCAGUAGGCAGGCAGGCCUGAUAGCUAUGACUUGGAAACAGUUUUCUGGGUAAACUGACCCAGCACUUUAGGGACCAGAUUCUUUCCUGCAGCAACCAGGGACGGGGAGCAGCCUACUGGACAUCAGGUCAUAAUUCUUGCUGGAAAAGAUAAAGGUUCCGGUUUCUCUUCCACAAAGAGCUCACCACCCAGGAGGUACUACUUCCCCAACUCCCUAGCCCAAACCCUUUGUCUUUUGCUCAUAAAAUGAGAACAUAGAGCGGCCGAUUCUGCUGCAAUCCUGUGGUUGAUUGGAUGUGGCCAUUACUCUGCCGCUGCCCCUAUCAGGAGACAGGGUCUACUUCCCCUGUCCUUGAAGCCACUUGGUCUCAUGACUUGGAGAAUGCAGCCACGUGAAUGUUGGGCAGGCCUGCCACCCAGGCUUCCAGUGGACACCACAGCUUUUACUUUUGUUAUCUUUGAGGAAGCCCCGAGACAAGACGUGAGGACACAGGUCUCCCCUUCCGAAGUGUGAGAGGUCAGACACUCUGAUCUGCAAACAAGGCUAUGGAUGAAGCACCAGAGGUGAAGCCCGUCGGCUUCUCAUUAAAACCGAUGUUACCACUUCAUCCGCAUUACCCCUGGUAUACGGCUGGCAUUCCACAGAGGCUUUGGGGGUACCCGAGUGCUUGCAGGGUCCACGUUCAGAAGAAGGAAGAGAAACCCUUUGUCCAAAGCUGGACAGGAGCUCUCCUCACUGUUAAUGGAGCAGACAGCCUGUCUCUCCCUAAGGAACAGAGACAACGCUUGGAAGUCAAGAAGGAACAGCAAAUGUGAGGCAGCUGAUGGCCAGUGGCCUUGGCAUGUACUACUACAGAUGACCUCUUUCUACCAGACUCAGAGUUUUAGCAGGAGGAGGACCUGGCUGACACUGGACACGGCUUCAAUGGCAUAGCAUUCUUUAUAGAGUUGGAAGAGAACAAUGGCCACACAGACCCUAUCACAGUGACGACCUGUGGUCAAGAAUUUCGAUUAUGAAAAGCAGCAAUAAUAAACAAGAGUAAUUAUUUUCUCCAUUA